CUGGCGGCAGAUCCGGACCCCUUCCCCAUCUUGCUCCUCCUGUCGGCGUCCUCAGGAGUCGCCAGGGUUGGGUGGAGCCCGCCCUCCCUAUCCCACACCUCAAUGCAUACUUCCCGGUCGAGUCCACCUCGACUGUGAAAUAUAGUAUCUACUCGGACAGGCGAUAUAUUCACAUGCCUCAGGUUACAAAGGACAUCCGCAAACUGAGGAUUGCACUUUGCCUUGUUUCCCACCAUACCCGCAGUUCCUAGAACAAGACCUAGCAUACGCUCUCAAUGUCUGGUGCCUAUGAAGGAGAGGGAAGUGUGUACCUGCAGAAGGGAUGAAUCUUCCAGAGGGCAACAGGAGCCUAGCCCCAUGGAGUGUGUUAGGGAUGAGGAGACUGAGUCUCAAAGAGGCCAAGAACCUUGCUGAAGAUCACACAGUUGGUGAGUUGUGGAGAACCAGGAUUCAAACAACCUCUGAGGGGCACUAGAGGCCAUGUGCUAACCCCACCCAA